rnacentral:tRNA from 1 species
AGGGGCGUAGCUCAGUUGGUAGAGUCGCGGUCUCCAAAACCGUUGGUCGCGUGUUCGAGUCGCGUCGCCCCUGCCA